UACGUAGGCAGCGAGCGUUGUUCGGAGUUACUGGGCGUAAAGCGUGCGUAGGCGGUGUCUUAAGUUUGUUGUGAAAUCUCCCGGCUUAACCGGGAGGGUGCGGCGAAUACUGAGAUGCUGGAGUGCCGGAGAGGUAAGCGGAAUUCCUGGUGUAGCGGUGAAAUGCGUAGAUAUCAGGAGGAACACCUGCGGUGUAGACGGCUUUCUGGACCGUAGCUGACGCUGAGACACGAAAGCGUGGGUAGCAAACAGG
rnacentral:rRNA from 1 species